AGAGCGAACGCUGGCGGCAGGCCUAAUACAUGCAAGUCGAGCGCACCUUCGGGUGAGCGGCGGACGGGUGAGUAACGCGUGGGAAUAUGCCCUUUGGUACGGAACAACUGAGGGAAACUUCAGCUAAUACCGUAUGUGCCCUUCGGGGGAAAGAUUUAUCGCCAUUGGAGUAGCCCGCGUUGGAUUAGGUAGUUGGUGAGGUAAAGGCUCACCAAGCCUACGAUCCAUAGCUGGUCUGAGAGGAUGAUCAGCCACAUUGGGACUGAGACACGGCCCAAACUCCUACGGGAGGCAGCAGUGGGGAAUAUUGGACAAUGGGCGCAAGCCUGAUCCAGCCAUGCCGCGUGAGUGAUGACGGCCUUAGGGUUGUAAAGCUCUUUCGCUCGGGACGAUAAUGACGGUACCGAGAUAAGAACGCCCGGCUAACUUCGCGCCAGCAGCCGC
rnacentral:rRNA from 1 species